rnacentral:misc_RNA from 1 species
GAUGAAGAACGUAGCAAAAUGCGAUACUUGGUGUGAAUUGCAGAAUCCCGUGAACCAUCGAGUCUUUGAACGCAAGUUGCGCCCGAAGCCAUUAGGCCGAGGGCACGCCUGCCUGGGCGUCACACGUCGUUGCCCCCCCAUCUACUCCUUCGGGAUUGCGGGGGGCGGAUGAUGGCCUCCUGUGUGCCUCGCCGCGCGGUUGGCAUAAAUGCCAAGUCCUCGGCGACGCACGCCACGACAAUCGGUGGUUGCGAAACCUCGGUUGCCCGUCGUGUGCGGUCGUCGCGCAUCGAGGGCUCGAAAAAAUUGCCGGGUUCCGGCUCGGCUUUCAACGCGACCCCAGGUCAGGCGGGGUUACCCGCUGAAUUUAAGCAUAUCAAUAAGCGGAGGA